rnacentral:ribozyme from 14 species
ACUCAAGAAGAAGAAAGAAAAAAUGGAAGUUGAAUUUUGACCAUAUUUGGAAAGCUCUUGUCAAGCUUUGUUCGCAUCAUCCUAUUUCCUGCCAAAGGUGCAUAGGACAAAACGCAUUUUGAAGAAAAAUGCGAGGGAAGAAAGGAAG